GCCCUUUCACAAAAUCCCGCAAACGCCUAUAUUCACUUCGCCGUCGCUUGCGGCGGCUAUGGCGAUAAAUGAACACCGUAAUAAACCAUUCGGACCCGGGGGCGGUACCCGGCGCCUCCACCAAAGCCCGUCGGCGCGGCGGGCUUCGGCGGGGGCGAAAUAGGAUCGACGAGGGCGUAAAGGGUGAUUUUUCGCUCGGCAUGAUACCGCCGUUAUCGGGUCAAACCUUAUAGUUGCCAACGACAACUAUGCUCCGGUGGCCGUCGCUGCGUAAUGCAGCGCCCAUACCGGGAUCAAAGUCCUAGGGGUUUGCACUUCUAGGCGGGGUCCGGAGGCGCCUGGCAACAGAAGCCUCCACU
rnacentral:tmRNA from 1 species